UGGCGUGACCUAUUACUCCUAGGCUACAAACCCCCCUACAGCAUGUGACCAUACUGAAUCCUGUAGGCGGUGGUAACACAAUGGGAAGUAUUUGUGUAUCUAAACAUACGUGAGUGACACCCCAUCUCUACUAAAAAUUAAAACAUUAGGCUGGGCACGGUGGCUCACGCCUGUUACCUGCCAAUUCCCUCUGCCUGGAGCAGUUUUCCUCCUAUCCCCUCUGACUCUUGCUCUUCAGCCCAGCGAGGCCUCUUAUAGCACUGCGUGGGGCCACUCUGUCCUGUCAUUCUCCUUUAUUUUCUUCAUCGCAUUUGUCACCAUUCCCCACUAGGACAUCAACCGCACGAGGGCAGAAGGGAUCCUGGUGGUCUUGUUCACUCCUGUGAUUCCAGUGCCUGGGAAGCUCCCUGCAUACCGUAGGUGUUUAAUCAACACCUGCCGA
rnacentral:lncRNA from 1 species